UACGUAGGGGGCUAGCGUUGUCCGGAAUCAUUGGGCGUAAAGCGCGCGUAGGCGGCCCGGUAAGUCCGCUGUAAAAGUCCAGGGCUCAACCCUGGGAUGCCGGUGGAUACUGUCGAGCUCGAGUCCGGAAGAGGCGAGUGGAAUUCCUGGUGUAGCGGUGAAAUGCGUAGAUAUCUGGAGGAACACCGGUGGCGAAGGCGACAUCCUGGACCGGUAUUGACGCUGAGGCGCGAAAGCCAGGGGAGCAAACGGG
rnacentral:rRNA from 1 species